rnacentral:rRNA from 1 species
AGUGAACGCUGGCGGUAGGCCUAACACAUGCAAGUCGAACGGCAGCACAGUAAGAGCUUGCUCUUACGGUUGGCGAGUGGCGGACAGGUGAGGAAUACAUCGGAAUCUACUUUUUCGUGGGGGAUAACGUAGGGAAACUUACGCUAAUACCGCAUACGACCUACGGGUGAAAGCAGUGGAUCUUCGGACUUUGCGCGAUUGAUUGAGCCGAUGUCGGAUUAGCUAGUUGACGGGGUAAAGGCCCACCAAGGCGACGAUCCGUAGCUGGUCUGAGAGGAUGAUCAGCCACACUGGAACUGAGACACGGUCCAGACUCCUACGGGAGGCAGCAGUGGGGAAUAUUGGACAAUGGGCGCAAGCCUGAUCCAGCCAUACCGCGUGGGUGAAGAAGGCCUUCGGGUUGUAAAGCCCUUUUGUUGGGAAAGAAAAGCAGCAGGUUAAUACCCCGCUGUUCUGACGGUACCCAAAGAAUAAGCACCGGCUAACUUCGUG